rnacentral:lncRNA from 1 species
CUAGUAAAUAGCGCGCGCCCCGCGCGCCAAGAAAAAAGUGUAACGGGGCGCCCUGCCGAACGUGUUUUGAAUUGAUACUAAGGAGCUGUUUGGUUCAGCCAUUUUAGACUCGUAACCAUUCCCUGGGACAGCUGAUACCGUUCCUUGGAGUUUGGUUAGCGCACUCCGUAAUUGAUAACAGCGUUAUCGGAUACAAGCCUGUAGAAUCUCAUUCCCACUUCCCACCUAUCGUCAUCCAAUACCAUAAAAACAGAAAACGCUGCCCACAAUAACUAAACAAAGGGCGGUAAUCAUUACUCUGCAUCGGAUAACAACGGCUGCUGAUUCCAUUGUCGUUACCGCUCCUUUCACCCAACCAAACAGCACCUAAUUUGAUUGGUAAGUGGCUAGAUAUAAGAAACGGAGAGAGGGAACAAUUGAUAAUUAGCUACUAUAGAGUAAACACAUAAAAAGUUGGUCAUUUAUGUACCAUAUAAAAAAAGGAAAAUGAAUGUAAUUCCAAGAAAAAGAUUUAAAACGAUCACGUGAAAAAGGGAAUAAAUGUAAAAGUAAUAUUGAAAUGCGUACCUAUUUUUCAAUGUGGCUGUCUUCGGGUGACCAGUAGAGCAAUAAGAUGUUCAUGUCACAGAGUGAUGAGAAACAUUCAGAUUUCCAUCGCUUGCAUUUAAAAAAACACUAAUGCAAGUGACAGUUCGUUAGGUAAGGGAAAAGAAAAUAGUAGAAACUUUCAUAUUUUAUAUGAAUCCAUCUCUUUAAAACGUCGCUUUAGUACUGGAAAUGUCCUUCAAGUACAACACAAAUGGAUUUGAAAAGGUUAGUGGUAAUUAACUACUAUGUAACAUGUACACGUACAACAUGAAUCAGACUUACUGUACCAUAGGAAAAGAAAUAUAAUAGUAAGACAUGAAUACUUGGCUAGGAAAGCAUAAGGUUCUUCAAACGUUCUUUUGGUCACCUUUGUACUUCAGAAACUACCCAUUCCAAAAAUAUGGAGCAUGCUCAACCUUUAAAUAGUCUUCUCUUAUGUCCUUGGCAAACCGUACAUCAUCAUCCAAAUAUAUAGGGUCAAACCUGGAAGUUGAUAUAAAUAAUGCAUUAAAAAUAUUGAAACACAAUCGACAAACUGAACAAUGUCUAACAUAGGCAUUCCAAUUUUCUAGCCAGCACCAAAGCACUAAUUGCAAGCAAACAUUUUUUUCUUUUUGGAUGUGAAGGGCAGUAAGCUAACAUCAUGGAGUGUUUAGGCUACAUUCAUGAGAUAUUUUGUCACAGACACUUAGCAUGGUUAGAUCAUUUGAGCUUGUCCAUUUUACGUUAAACAACCAAAAAAGAGAAAAAAAAUAGCUGAAGACAGCUAGGUUGGUUUUAAGGGCUCCUAAAUUUUUCCUCCAAAGCAUAACUGCAUACUACAUAUGGAAGCAUGGAAAACAUUCUUAGAAAGCCAUUUAUCAUCCUUGCAGUUGUAGGAACUGGGCUCAACAUUGCGCUUCUGAAUGGUAGUUUUUUCACUUAAGUUCAAAUGUUCAUAUUAUGCUUACACUAUGGUUUGCAGAGCAUUCUGAGGUGGUAUUACAAACUCAAUGCCUUCUACUUUUGUAUUCAAGUUUGUCGUCAUAAUGUGUCAAAAAGGAAAACAUCAAAUUCAAGUUGACCAAAGAAUUUUCUUUCUUUUUGAAUAUGGAAAUCUGUAAGCUAAGAGUAUUAGUCUCCCUCCAUCCCUCCCUCUGUAUUCUCAAUCAAAAUUGAGUGUGGCCGGUCAUGAAGCAUGAUUCUAUAUUUCUUCACAAAUGAAUAAUUUUAUAGUUGAUUACUGUAACUACUGGUUGCAAUGGAAUCAACUUUGUCUCACCUGCACCAAUUUUCCUGAUCUAGUUAACAGGAAC